rnacentral:rRNA from 1 species
CGUAGGGUGCGAGCGUUAAUCGGAAUUACUGGGCGUAAAGCGUGCGCAGGCGGUUUGUUAAGAUAGGCGUGAAAUCCCCGGGCUCAACCUGGGAACUGCGCUUAUGACUGGCAAGCUAGAGUACGGCAGAGGGGGGUGGAAUUCCACGUGUAGCAGUGAAAUGCGUAGAGAUGUGGAGGAACACCAAUGGCGAAGGCAGCCCCCUGGGUCGAUACUGACGCUCAUGCAUGAAAGCGUGGGUAGCAAACAGGAUUAGAUACCCUGGUAGUCCACGCCCUAAACGAUGUCAACUAGGUGUUGGGGGGGUAAAACCUUUUAGUACCGGAGCUAACGCGUGAAGUUGACCGCCUGGGGAGUACGGCCGCAAGGUUA